CUCUGAAGCGCUUUGGGAGAGCUGAGAUCCAUCCCAUGGAAACCAUCCUCAACUUCUUCAGCCAGAGUUGGCACCCCCAGGGGAUAACGCUCGCCAGAUGCUGGUAUCAUGCUCUUGGAAUUCCCAGUCUCCAGAACUGUUUGCAAAGUAUAUUAAGCUGAUGUGGGCAAGUUUGGAGUGAGGACGUUCAGCAAAAGACAGAGGGAACCAGCUGGAUGACCCUAGCAGGCCUGGAACAGUUUGGAACCGGACGUCCUCUUCUUGUAGACUGACAGGCUCCGGAAAGAAGCCACAGCUUCUCCGUGGAGCCCUGGGCUCAGCACUUCCCGUAUUCACUACUGCUAUUCUCAGUAGUCCUCUUCCCCAAAGUCUGCUUCCAUAUUUUCAGGUCUUUGAAUGUUGCAGCCAAACCACUGCUCUAGUUCUGAAAGCAGAACCAAAACACACCCCAGGCACCGUUCCCUCACCGACUUCCUAUUCCUAGGGCUCCAAUCCCAGCCUCCUACCCCUUCAUCCUCUCCCUGCUCCCUUACCCUAGA